AGUCACUACAUUAGAUACCCCGGUAGUCCCAGCCGUAAACUAUGCGCGUUAGGUGUAUCGGUGACCACGAGUUACCGAGGUGCCGAAGGGAAACCGUGAAACGUGCCGCCUGGGAAGUACGGUCGCAAGGCUGAAACUUAAAGGAAUUGGCGGGGAGCACCACAACAGGUGGAGCCUGCGGUUUAAUUGGACUCAACGCCGGGAAGCUCACCGGAUAGGACAGCAGAAUGAUUGCCGGGCUGAAGACCCUGCAUGACUAGCUG
rnacentral:rRNA from 1 species